ACGACUCCGCAGUCAUGCGCUCAGGGAACGCGCGUCGGUCAAAACACAGCAAAGCACUUAUAUUUGAAAGCUUGUGUAAACAGCACCUAAAGCGAUGAAAUGACGCGUGAACUCCCUCAGGAUCAGGUGGAGGUAAACAUAGCCUACAGGAAUGGAGCCAUGACCACCGCUCAUCCAGCUACUGUAUAGGCCUGCUGAAAAACAUCAACACAUGUCACAGUUGAGCGGCUGUGUAACUCAAAACUACAUUCUGACAGAUCAUUUUUUCCUGUGCGCAGAGGAUGAGUCGGCUAUCGAACAGACCUGCGUCAUCGGAGAGACUCUAAUUCUGUACGACCCAGAGCCGCGGGGACUUACAGAGAGCUGAGAGAUGACAGAUCUCAAUGCUUCAGGUUGGUCUGCUCAGCUCUGUCUUGGUUACCUUGAGCAGUUUUUUACAGUUAUAAUUUUUGGUAACUGCUGAUUUUCCAGUCUGCCAGUCGAAUGAGGAUCUACUGUAGAGGACAUUUCUGUUACUCAUAGGCUGCCCGUUUAUAGCUCAGGAAACCUAAUGGACUUCUUACCUAUGAGUUUAAUAUCUGUAUGUUCUUUGACUUUUAAAAUUACUUAAUAAUAAAUAGACACAAAUAAGUAAGGCAAUUGAUUACAUAGGGUACACUGACUCAUGAUGUCAUAGAAGAACCAUUUUUGGUUGUGUGGUCCCUAAAGCAGGAGUUUUCAAACCUUACGAUGCCAAAGACCCCCAGAUACGAUGGACUGUCCUUUUGUAAGGGACCCCCUUCCUAAAAUAUGUAACAAUUGACAUAUUUUAUAACGAAAAUAUUAUUGGGUAAACUUAUAGUAAAGCUGGAUGUA